ensembl:lncRNA
CAGAACCUCAGAAUGUGACCUUAUUUACAGACAGGGUUCUUGCAGAUAUAAACUAGUAAAGAUGAAGUUAUUCUACAGCAGGUGGGCCCUUAAUCCAAUAUGACUGCUGGCCUCAUGAGAAGAGGAAGGGACAGAGAGAGACAGACACAGGGAAGACGACCACGUGAGGAUGAAGGCAGAGACUGGAGUUAACCUGCAGCUGCAAGCCAAGGAAAGCCGAGCAUGGCUGGCAACCCUGGAAGUUAGGAGCAAGGCCCAGGGCAGAUUCUCUCCCAGGAACCUGAGAGGACACAGCCCUGCUGACUCCUUGAUUUCGGACUUCUAGCCUCCUGAACUGCAGAAUACCUCUUAUCCUGUUCACUUUCGUUUUGACCACACAACCUCCUCUGUCCAAAAGAAUUCCUCUUAAAUUUUGUACACAAGGCAAGUUUCCUGCUGGUGGCCCUGCUUCCUGCCCCGAACCAUGAUGAUAGUAUGAACCCAGAGAGUAGGUACUCGUUCAGCCCUGUAUCUGGAGUGAGAAGACUGUGCAGCUGGGCUGGGCUGAACCAGGCGGAUCCCAGGGGAACCACAGUGGGGAUGCAGCACUCAUGCAAUACCAGCAAGAAAUAAGGUUUGUUUUUUAAACUAAUGAGAUUUGAAGUUUCUUUGUCAUGCAGCAUGGUCUAGUGAAACCUAAUGUAUAGCCUAUGGCUGAUCGAGUUCCACAGGACUGGAAAAAGUC